UACGAAGGGUGCAAGCGUUACUCGGAAUUACUGGGCGUAAGGCGUGCGUAGGUGGUUCGUUAAGUCUGAUGUGAAAGCCCUGGGCUCAACCUGGGAAUUGCAUUGGAUACUGGCGGGCUAGAGUGCGGUAGAGGAUGGCGGAAUUCCCGGUGUAGCAGUGAAAUGCGUAGAGAUCGGGAGGAACAUCUGUGGCGAAGGCGGCCAUCUGGACCAGCACUGACACUGAGGCACGAAAGCGUGGGGAGCAAAC
rnacentral:rRNA from 1 species